UCACUGAGACGCUCCUGCCCAGCAACUGCCCCUGCCAAAUUCCAAUGCAACGCCAAACUGUAUACUGAAGAGCAGACAACCAUGGAAUUCGAUGAUCGAUCCAACCCAAUGUAUAUGCUCGCAGUGGGAUUCUUCAAGCAGCGGUUGACUGGAAGCUGCUUCAAUUUUGGCGGGCAAAGCUUCCAUUUUUCUCUGCUUAUUUCUCGUUCAAGCGAUGCUGAUUUUCUCCUUACUUUCAAAAUUUUCUUUACGGGCGCUGUCGUAGUUAUUAUUGGAGUUUGUCGAAUGCUUGGGCUCAGCAUUUCCCGGUGGAUUCAGCAGCAAAUCUCUGUGUUUUUGUGUUCUUGUAGCUGAGUCGUUUGUUCUUUCGGUUUCUUCAUGAUAUGAUGUGGCUCAAUAAAUGGCUAUCGCAGUAGCUUCCUUGCGCAUGAAGCAAUGGAGGAAAGACAAUCUGAAUAAGAGCUCGAAAAGAAAAAUCAACCAUCUUGUUGUGGAAAAUUUCCUUAGUUCUUCAUAAAAUUCGAUGUGCAACGGCCGAGGAAAUUGCUUCCUAUGCCCGAGACUUGUAUAAUCAUUCAUACCAGCAUUGGAAUGCAGGACGUGAUUGUGAAAUCCGCAAGGAUCAAAAGACUGCCAAAUGAUCGUGGCAACCCCCACCCCCUCUUCUCAACCAAAACAACCCUAGUGGCAGCAUUAGCAAAGUGGAGGAAUGACUUUUCGAGGUCACGGUGGUACUGGUUGGACUGAUCUCUCCUCACCCGGUGGAGACGUAGCUCGGACCCCUUGUUGCCGUGGGAGCUUACAUCCUACAGGAAUUACAUUGUCUUGUAUGGGCAUGGAAUGUAUCGUAAAUUUGCUGAUAUGGUUUCUUUCAGCAAAAGUCGAUGCCGAGUUGGCAGUUCUUGAGGGAGCCUCACUAUUACAAACAACAAGAUGAGUUGAAGCCCUGCAUUGACUGCCUUCCUAAGAUCUAGUGCUGGCGUCAAUCACAACGGCCUUCUGCGUGGCAUCUGGAUGACCUUCUCAGUGUUCGAUGUUAAUGUUUUCCGGCCAAUCCUACUAUUCCAUUGGAUUGCUGCUCUUUGUCCUCACGACGAAGUGCCAAAUCACGCACAUGAUCAAGUAUAAAUAUGUCCCAUUCGGCAUUGGCUUGCGGAGGUACACUGGGAACAACUCUAUGCAGUAGAAACGGAUCAGGACAAACCCAACAAGUGAAUCAUCAGUCCUAUUGAAGUAUGCCCACAUCCUUUACGGGGAGGAACACGGUCCUUGCUGAGAACUUAAGAGAUUUCUCUCCUUUCGACAUCUUUAACUGAGCAACUCCCAUAGAACUCAGGCUUAUAGGAUUCUACUGCUGGUUUUGUUUUAUAGUCUUUCAAGCUAUCUGUGAAGAAAUUUGUUGUCUUGACAGCAUGAUCUUAGUAAGCCAUUCACUUGGUCUUUGUACCAGAUGUUCAAGUAACCGUCCUUAUUUGCAUGAGGUUGUUGAGAGAUAAAAGAUCUGCAAUCGAACACGGUUUGAUCUGCCUCCUACAGUUAAUGAAAAAGAAAAGAUUAUAAGAUGGACUUGUUUGAAACCAACCCUCUUGAUUGAGACCGACCCUCAGAUAAUCCAUGACCUAAUAUUUCAGCUUAAUCAACGCGUGUUCGAUCAUAUGAACGAAUCGCUGAGUGGAUGAUGAGCCGAAUGGACUGACUAGCACGUUUGGGCUGGAAGUGAAUGUUUCGUCUUGGGAUUCUUUUAUGUCUUUAGGUGGGACGGGAUCCCAAUCAUAGACCAAACUCAUACAACAACUUCCCAACUACUAAACAGCGAGGAUGAAUAUAUUAAUCUCAUGCCAUUAUUCUAAUCCUCGACUUAGUCCGUGCAGAGAAGUACCCAAACAUGGCCAGCUAAUGGAUCAAUGAACAACCUCCCCUCCUCAUUCCAAUAAAUUAGAAGGCCCUGCAGGAAACAGCUACCCUCAUGAAUCUGCAGGAUUCAAUUUUCCUCGCUUUCGUUACCGGCUGAUCAAUGAGUGGGAGGACGUUCGUGGUGAUAUUCGUCUUCUGGGCUCUACUCACAAUCAUUACCCCGACGCUCAUUCACCUGUCCGACUCAGCAAAGCAUAAGUCGGGUUCUCAUGGUAAUGGAGAUAAUCGGUGAUUUGUGGAGUGACGAGACGAGGACCAGGAAAAUGGUGGGUCAUCUUAAGAAACAAUACUUCAGAAGCCCGAUAGCUCCAUCUCCGCAGGAAAUUCCUCCAGCACCGGCCCCGGCACCAGGACCAGCUCUGGGUCGGAGGCGGGAAAAAUAAUCAAAAGACCCAAGAUCGAUGCUGUUUCGGAACCAAAACGUAUGAACAUUUCUGCAUGGACUAAAUGAAGCUGAGCUUCACUUGGGUUACAAGUCCAUAGAUCCGAAACUUCAUCAAGCUGAGCCUCAUUCAGGUUGCAAGUCCUUAUCCCUGAAACUUCAUCAUAAUGAUCCGAUAUCAACGGAUCGAUUCUCUAGCAUGAUGAAGUUCUGGCCACAAGGAUUGAGCUGGCGGAGGAUGUCAAGACUGAGGUGGGUGCGCUUAUUGUGAAACUAACUCUUGCGUACGAGGUGAGCUGCUUCAAAUGUAAAUUUUGUAAGACACAGAUUUAGGAGGGGCACUAGAUUGCUGUAAAAGGUGUCGGACCAAUGCACAGAAUAACGAAUUCGUGAAGUGCCGAAUCGCCAAAUCUUUUACCAUCAGAAAACACCCUCCGCGCACAACUCAAAUGCCUUGCUUCACUGAUUUGCUCCUGUAUAGUCCAAGAACACGCACUCAUUGGCGUCUCAAUUGCCGACAAGAGCUGGAUCAAAACGAGAUUGCUGAUCCAAAGCUACUUGGAAUGGCAGCAGUCAAUCACGGAGACGGAGAGCAAAUGGUUCUCUUGCUCUUCUCGUAUGCCGGGCCUAAUCCAGCCCGAAAACACCGACUUAGCCCGGCCUGCUAACACCAUCGAAAUUCGAAGUGUUGUGUAAAAUUCGAAUGCAUUCCUCAAUUGAAAAGUAA